AGCUGUCCCAGGAGAUGAACUUCCUCACUUUCACAUUUGUGCACACGUGAGUGUCUUGCACCCCUGCUGUGUCAGAGAUGCCCCAAGGAAGAACAGAAGUGAUCCUGGGUGUAGCUGAGAAAAGAAGAAAGGAAAAAGAGAGAGAGACACAGAACGAUCUACAUAACGGACGGAUUAAAACAAAAGUCAGCUAUCCAGAUAAAAGAAUCAUAAUGGUCUCAGGGUUGGAAAAGAGUUCCUCAUCUGCAAAACAGGGAUGAUGGGAUAGUGCCACCUGUCAGAGGGAUGGGAGGUAAUAUACGUAAUGCACAGCAUGGCACUGAGG